GCUCUUCUGAUCUUGAGGAUUUUCAAGGCCAUUAUUGACAUGUCCUUUUUGUUACCUUUCUUACAAAUUUGCAGCUCUAUAUUUUGAGCAAGAAAUUAAGAGGCAUUAAAUUUUCAUCGAUUAUUUGCAAUGUAGAUGAUAACUGAACUCUGACUUUUUAUAAUAUAUUUUGCUGAGGUUUGGCGAACAGCUAUGGCAAUUGGUUAGUCAUCUAAAACCCUUGAUGUUACGGUGAUUCAAGCAGAGGGGAAAGAAAUCUGAAAAAGUCAUAUUGGUUUGGUUUCUCUGGGAAACAGACUCUGAGCCUGAGAAUUGGGGCAGGGGGUGUGUGUGCUCUAGAACAACACUUCCUGAGAGAUGAAGGAGGUAGGAUUGGACAGGAGGGGAAGCUGAACUUCAGGUCAGUGUGGCAGGGGCCUUGGCUGGUCCCACGGGGUCUCUGAAGUUGGGAUGGCCCUUCAGCCAGUCCUGAGUGGAGGCAAGGGGACUGGGCCCGGUGCCACAGCUCCACCUGCUGCCAGAUGGGAAAGGAAUGAAGCGGUAGCCCCGGCAGUUCCAGAGGGCAGCCCUGCUGGGAGCUGUCAGGAGCCUACACUGCCAGCCUGGGGGCACUGAGUGCCUCCCUCUGAAGGAGGGCCCUGUCCAUAAGUGAAACACAGAAUGGGGACCACAUAAGGAGAGGGAGAGGAGAAAAGAUCCAUGCUAUCACAUAAUUUCUCUU